GACGGAGGAUGCAAGUGUUAUCCGGAAUCACUGGGCGUAAAGCGUCUGUAGGUUGUUUAAAAAGUCUGCAGUUAAAGGUUGAAGCUUAACUUCAAAAAUGCCGUAGAAACUUUUAAACUAGAGGAUGGUAGGGUAGAGGGAAUUUCCAGUGGAGCGGCGAAAUGUGUAGAUAUUGGAAAGACCACCGAUGGCGAAGGCACUCUACUGGGCCAUGACUGACACUGAGAGACGAAAGCUAGGGGAGCAAAUGGG
rnacentral:rRNA from 1 species